rnacentral:rRNA from 1 species
AUUGAACGCUGGCGGCAUGCCUUACACAUGCAAGUCGAACGGCAGCACGGGAGCAAUCCUGGUGGCGAGUGGCGAACGGGUGAGUAAUAUAUCGGAACGUGCCCAGUCGUGGGGAUAACGUAGCGAAAGCUACGCUAACACCGCAUACGAUCUAUGGAUGAAAGCGGGGGAUCGCAAGACCUCGCGCGAUUGGAGCGGCCGAUAUCAGAUUAGGUAGUUGGUGAGGUAAAGGCUCACCAAGCCGACGAUCUGUAGCUGGUCUGAGAGGACGACCAGCCACACUGGGACUGAGACACGGCCCAGACUCCUACGGGAGGCAGCAGUGGGGAACUUUGGACAAUGGGCGCAAGCCUGAUCCAGCAAUGCCGCGUGCAGGAUGAAGGCCUUCGGGUUGUAACGUGCUUUGUUACGGAACGAAACGGUGAGCUCUAAUACAGUUGCUAAUGACGGUACCGUAAGAA